AGCUACAGUUCACUGACUCUGUGUGUUUGCAUAUCUGUCCUGCCUCUCUGCUCCCAGCCGUUAAGAGGCCAGUGUUGAUCAGUGGCUGUCCAGGCCUUUCAGAGCCACUGACACGCCGGCAGCACAAUGAUGAUGUCACUGAUUCCACUGCUGGCCACCCUGGGGCUCCUUGUUCAGGGUUCAUCAGGACAAAUCGUCCUGACUCAGUCUCCUGGAUCUCAGUCUGUUGUUCCAGGACAGACUGUCUCUCUCAGAUGUAAAACCAGUACGAGUGUUAGUAGCUCCCUCCACUGGUACCUUCAGAAACCUGGAGAAGCUCCUAAACUCCUGAUUUAUUAUGCUACAACCCUUCACUCUGGAGUUCCAGGUCGUUUUAGUGGAAGUGGAUCUGGGACUGACUUCACUCUGACCAUCAGUGGAGUUCAGGCUGAAGAUUCAGGAGUUUACUACUGUCAGCAGGGUUACAGCCCGUUCACACAGUGAUACAACGUCGUACAA